rnacentral:rRNA from 1 species
UCGAACGGCAACGAGGAGAAGCUUGCUUCUCUGUCGGCGAGUGGCGAACGGGUGAGUAUAGCAUCGGAACGUGCCAAGUAGUGGGGGAUAACCAAACGAAAGUUUUGCUAAUACCGCGUAAGCUCUAAGGAGGAAAGUAGGGGACCUAAAUAAGGCCUUACGCUAUUUGAUCGGCCGAUGUCGGAUUAGCUAGUUGGUGGGGUAAUGGCUCACCAAGGCAAUGAUCCGUAGCGGGUCUGAGAGGACGAUCCGCCACACUGGGACUGAGACACGGCCCAGACUCC